AGUGAACGCUGGCGGCAGGCCUAACACAUGCAAGUCGAACGGCAACACAGUAAGAGCUUGCUCUUACGGUUGGCGAGUGGCGGACGGGUGAGGAAUACAUCGGAAUCUACUUUUUCGUGGGGGAUAACGUAGGGAAACUUACGCUAAUACCGCAUACGACCUACGGGUGAAAGCAGGGGAUCUUCGGACCUUGCGCGACUGAAUGAGCCGAUGUCGGAUUAGCUAGUUGGCGGGGUAAAGGCCCACCAAGGCGACGAUCCGUAGCUGGUCUGAGAGGAUGAUCAGCCACACUGGAACUGAGACACGGUCCAGACUCCUACGGGAGGCAGCAGUGGGGAAUAUUGGACAAUGGGCGCAAGCCUGAUCCAGCCAUACCGCGUGGGUGAAGAAGGCCUUCGGGUUGUAAAGCCCUUUUGUUGGGAAAGAAAAGCAGCAGGUGAACACCUCGCUGUCCUGACGGUACCCAAAGAGUAAGCACCGGCUAACUUCGUG
rnacentral:rRNA from 1 species